UACGAAGGGGGCUAGCGUUGCUCGGAAUCACUGGGCGUAAAGGGUGUGUAGGCGGUCUUCUAAGUUUGGUGUGAAAGCCCCCGGCUCAACUGGGGAGGGUCACGCGAUACUGAUCGACUCGAAGGCAGGAGAGGGUAGUGGAAUUCCCGGUGUAGUGGUGAAAUGCGUAGAUAUCGGGAGGAACACCAGUGGCGAAGGCGACUACCUGGCCUGUUCUUGACGCUGAGGCGCGAAAGCUAGGGGAGCAAACGGG
rnacentral:rRNA from 1 species